CAGGCCUAACACAUGCAAGUCGAACGAAGGCUUCGGCCUUAGAGGCGCACGGGUGCGUAACGCGUGGGAAUCUGCCCCUUGGUUCGGAAUAACAGUUAGAAAUGACUGCUAAUACCGGAUAACGACGUAAGUCCAAAGAUUUAUCGCCGAGGGAUGAGCCCGCGUAGGAUUAGCUAGUUGGUGUGGUAAAGGCGCACCAAGGCGACGAUCCUUAGCUGGUCUGAGAGGAUGAUCAGCCACACUGGGACUGAGACACGGCCCAGACUCCUACGGGAGGCAGCAGUGGGGAAUAUUGGACAAUGGGCGAAAGCCUGAUCCAGCAAUGCCGCGUGAGUGAUGAAGGCCUUAGGGUUGUAAAGCUCUUUUACCCGGGAUGAUAAUGACAGUACCGGGAGAAUAAGCCCCGGCUAACUCCGUGCCAGCAGCCGCGGUAAU
rnacentral:rRNA from 1 species